CUUUUAAAAUGGGAUUUAAGCGUCCACCCAUUUCAAAUGGACACUUGGCCCACACAAAUCUUUUUCUUUUAAGUAGAAAACCGGCCUAUAAAACUUAUAAGUAGGAUGGCACUUAGCCAUCCUAUCACUGACGGUGAGGAGUAAGGCUUUGUCAUUUUCUCGCACCAACCACAGCUGAUAAUUACUGCCAUAUUUCUCAUCAAGAACAUCCUCAUUGGCACCCAAGUGCCUAAAAAUACUCCAUUCUCCUCUCUAACUCCAUCCACAUCAAUCUACCCAAAAAUACUUCAUUCUCCUCUCCAACUCCAUCCACAUCCAUCCGAACGCCGGCUGCUCGAAUGCCCAUCAAGCCGUGGCUUUAAAAGACCUUCGAGAAGCCGAUCGACAAAUCCCAAACAUGGAUCUCGACCGCAAAGCUAAUAUCUCCAACCCCAAUAGCCGCAUGCUCGUUCAAUUCUACGGUGAUGAUCGCCAUAAUGGGGAAUAUGAUCACGCGGCUCAGUUGAUGGGCCAACAGUGUGAUCAAAACAGAGAGAGUGAUUGUGAUGAGAUGGAAGCCAUGUUCGAGAAGCCGCUGACACCGAGCGAUGUCGGGAAGCUGAAUAGGCUAGUGAUACCGAAGCAGCACGCCGAAAGGUACUUCCCUCUUGAUGGCGGCAGCAGCGAGUCUGGGGAGAAGGGGCUGCAGCUGAGCUUUGAGGACGAGGCGGGGAAGAUGUGGCGGUUCCGGUACUCGUAUUGGAACAGCAGCCAGAGCUACGUGCUGACUAAAGGGUGGAGUCGGUUUGUCAAGGAGAAGCAGCUAGACGCCGGCGACAUCGUCUUCUUCCACCGUAAUCGGCCUAACGGGGAGAGGCUGUUCAUCGGGUGGAGGCGGCGAGACGCGCCUAUAACCCAGGCGAUGCAGAUGGGAUCUCCGGCUGGGGCCGGAAUCCAGUGGGGCCCAGCGUUCUAUCAUUCACACUCCCCUUAUCCUGCGCACCCUGCUGUCUGCUGCAUUGGAGGGCAACGUGAUGGUCUACUUCAUGCAGGCAUACCCGCGGUGGGAAGCUCUACCACGCCGGUGAACUCAAAGCGGCUGAGGCUAUUCGGAGUCAACCUAGACUGCCCGACCGACGGACCCGAACCCGACGAGCCCAAUGGCUCAUGUUUGUCGAGUAGGAGUGGACCCCACAUGAGCUUCUCCCCUCUCCAGUUCAACGGUUCCAGCUAACACACUACAAGUGCAGGCACUCGAUCGGACGGCUGUUAGAAGUGCUUGAUUUCAGUAUUUCAAUUUAUCAUGAGACGAUAUAUUGACGAGAUGGAGAGAUCUGAAACAAUGCUCCCCAUGUCCCACCCUAUCUUGAAAUGACGUCGUCCAGAGAAGAAAUAAAAAAAUUAAAAAAAUCCUCUCAUUUGGUGGUGACCUCACUUUUUAAGAAUUCGAUGGUACGGCCUCUACGGGAAGCGUUGAAUAAGGGCGAGCUUGCGAAAGGGCCAUCAAUCCUAGGGCUGACGACAUCAUCUUCUUUCUGUCCUUGCGGAGAAUCUCUCGCCACUGUUGAGAUUUUGGACGGGAGAUUUCCAUGCAUCAUCAUUAGCGGGAGUUUAUUAUGGUGUUAGUUCACCACUAUUUUAGAAACAUCAAUUACUCAUACGCGUGAAUAAAUUGAUCUGGACUGUCGGGCCAUCCUCGAACGAUCAUGCUUUGAAAAUUGGACCGACAGAAGAAUCGUAAGGUUCGAAUCAACGGCUAUCAAAUAGAUGGUUGAAAAGAAUACCGGGUUGAGAUCAGACGGUUGAUAUAAUCCAAGCAUUGUGAUUUUCAGCAAUGUAAAAUUCACGCUGGAGAUCAUAAUUUGGAUGGUCCAGAUUAGUGUGGUGGAUGAGUUAUUGCAGUUAUAAAAUGGUGGUGAACCAUAUCACCUUAGUGUUAUUUCACAGUAGAAAUAAUGAGAAUGAUGAAAAGGGUUGCAAGUGUGCAACUGGCUCUAAGUGGUGGACUGGUGGCAACAGUGCAUAGACCCAAUCUCGGUGUAUUAGGGUAGUGUGCACGUGUGAGAACUGUGGAGCAUGCGAUAUAUAUAGUAGAUCAAUGUAGGUUUGUAAUUUUCUUUGUCAAGUAAGAAGAUCUGCCACGUGUCAAAUCUGAUAAUAAAUGUUCCAUUUCUUUCCA